rnacentral:rRNA from 1 species
UUUGGUGGUCAUAGCACGAGCAAAACACCCGGCUCCAUUCCGAACCCGGCCGUUAAGUGCCGUUGCGCCGAUGGUACUGCGUCUUAAGACGUGGGAGAGUAGGUCACUGCCAAAC